ACAUUUUUUUCCAUAUACUUUAGGGUUUGGGUUAGAGUUUUGAAUAAAUUUUAAAUACUUGUUUACGGUGGAUCUCUUGUCAUCUAGACACAUUAAUGAAGAUCAAUGAUCGACAUCACUUAUCGGAAGCUCUUUUUGAUUUUUAUAAUUGUAAUAACGAAUUAAUGAAGAUCAAUGAUCGACAUCACUUAUCGGAAGCUCUUUUUGAUUUUUAUAAUUGUAAUAACGAAUUAAUGAAGAUCAAUGAUCGACAUCACUUAUCGGAAGCUCUUUUUGAUUUUUAUAAUUGUAAUAACGAAUUAAUGAAGAUCAAUGAUCGACAUCACUUAUCGGAAGCUCUUUUUGAUUUUUAUAAUUGUAAUAACGAUUUAAUUGAUGUCAAUUUGAUAAAAAAAAUAAUAAUAAUUGUCUUUCAAAUUCAUCUCCUCUCGAAUAAACUGACAUCAAUAAGCUAUUGUUUUAGUUGUAAUGACUAAAAGAACCCUUAAGUAUACUUAUAAAAAAUAUUGUCAUUAAAGUUGUGUAAUUUAUAAAUACCGAUCAAUAGUGAAUCACCUAUGAAACUGAUUCACCUUAGAAUUUCCCUUCUUAUUUUAAUCAUUUUUUCUAGAAUUUUCCUUUCUUAUUUUAUUC
rnacentral:lncRNA from 1 species